GUCUAUGGCCAUGCCACCCUGAAUAAGCCCGAUGUCUCAUGUCAGAAGCUAAGUAGGGUUGGGCUGGUUAGUACUUAGAUGGGAGACCACCCAGGAAGACCAGGUGCUGUAGGCA
rnacentral:rRNA from 1 species